rnacentral:rRNA from 1 species
GGUAAAUUCCAUCUAAAGCUAAAUAUUGGCGAGAGACCAAUAGCGAACAAGUACAGUGAUGGAAAGAUGAAAAGAACUUUGAAAAGAGAGUGAAAAAGUACGUGAAAUUGU